UUAAUUCAUAAAAUAUUGAAAGUAAAAUGCAGUUUGAAAUUAUAAUGUCUUAAUACGAAAAAGUUUUAGAGUAUGGACCAAUUUUCAAAAUGUGAUGCCUUAUUAGGAAAAAAGAUUGAAAAUAAAAUGACUUGAGACGAUAAAACUUGCAUGACAUUGAUGUUAAAUAAUCAUGAAGGAAAGAAGAUGUUACCUUAUACCAGCAAAGUGAGUCCAUGUUUUGCUCCUCUUCUUUCUAUAUGUUGUUUGGAGUUUCCUUCAUUUAGUUAAUCUUACAAAGCAACUGUACAAGUUUAUGUCAAGAAGUUCCAUUUUAGAAUACAAUAAUACAAUGAUUAUCUCUAAAAGAAAUGGGAAAAGUGAAGUAAUAAAUAGAUAAGACAAGUUAUUUGCAUUAUUAACAUGGAACAACAUGAAAAUAUAGACUACAAGGAUCAAAACAAAUCAAGGAUAGGUUGCCCUCAUAAUUGUUAAUCUUCAUAGGUUAGAUUUUUAGAGUAUAAUGCUAGAUUUUGUUAGAUUUUGAAAUUACAAUAUUUUUAUAGGAAUUAAAAUGUGUUAAUAUCAGUUGCAUAUGUCAUGUAGAUAGUGAUUAUUAAGUUGGUUAUUUAUAUAAACUACUUAACAGAGAAGCAAUGUCAUAUAGAUAGUGAUGAUUAAGCAACUCAUGUAUCGGUAGCACAUCAUUGGUAGACUUACUCUUAUAAAAUAUAGGACAACUGAAUUUGAAAAUAGAAUACAGAAAGUGAACAAAAGAGCACAAAGAACUCACAUGAGUUAAUAAAUUACUUCAUGAUGAACUCCCAAUUGAUUUUGCGUACAUUCCAAUCUGAAAAUGCAUAAAAUAAUCAUGAGAGUAUUUUACCUAUAAAAACUUCAAUAACCAUGGGUAAUUUUUAAAACAUAAAAAGCCACCAACACAAGAAAGCAAAGGAACAGAAGAUUUUCACAGCACAAAGAACUCACAUGAGUGACUAAUUUGUUAGAAUUAUCCACUCCACCUAUUCUAUAUAAAAGUCGAUCAAUUAACAAAAAUUAUGGAUAUUGGAGAUCAUGUAUGAAAAAACCCCAAAUUACUCAUCAUGUCCAGAGGACACCCAAUAUUACUGUGAUGAAAAACCCUCAAACGACUCACAAUAUAAAAAGGGAAAUGGAGUCAACAAAACAAAGUUAAAAACCAACCAAACGACUCUAUUGUUUCAAAGUAAAACAGAUUUGACUAAAGUUUUCAAAGCAAAAGGAAAAUCGAUGAAAAUCGAACAUGAAUUUCGUUUUCCCCAUUUUUCUAGGGUUCUUAAUUUGGUUAAAGGAUAGAAGAGCGUCGGCCUUAAAUAGACUUUGAGAAAGGAGAAUUUGGCGGUGUCUGGGAAUCAUUAAACGAAAGUAUGGAGAAACUAAGUGGAGGCGUUAGUUGGUCAAAAGAAGAAAACGAAGAGAAAACAGAAACAAGGACAAAGAUGAAGAAACUUACCGGAGAUAAUCGUCGCCAUUGAAAAGAAUGAGAAGAAAGGUCGGAGAGAAUCGUCGUCACUGUAAACUGAAGAGAAGAAAGGUUGAAUGAAUAUAUAUACGCUUCG
rnacentral:lncRNA from 1 species